UAAUGUGUUUAGAUGUGGUAGGUAGAGGGUUAGGGUGUAGUUCUAAUGUGUUUAGAUGUGGCAGGUAGAGGGGUUAGGGUGUAGUUCUAAUGUGUUUAGAUGUGGCAGGUAGAGGGGUUAGGG